rnacentral:lncRNA from 1 species
AACAAACACACAAUAUUUUUUGAGACGAACUACGAUACUCUGAUCUCUCAUAAUGCUUGAAGGUACGUAGGCACAGAGUUGUAACACUCUGGCGAGUACAAUAACAAGAACUUCUUUUUGUCCUCUUUCCUGAUUAAAUUUUAUUUUUUUAUUAAAACAAUAAACUAUUCUUCCUUAUAAAUAAAUGAAAUGAGGCAUUAAGCAGAAAAUAAGGAACUUAAGCAAAUAUCCUUUAGGUAAACAUAGUAACCCUAGAACUAGAGAAGGAUCU